rnacentral:rRNA from 1 species
UACGUAGGGUGCGCGCGUUGCCCGGAUUUAUUGGGCGUAAAGGGCGCGCAGGCGGCUACGCACGUCCGUUGUGAAAUCGCUCGGCUCAACUGGGCGGGGUCAGCGGAUACGGCGUAGCUGGAGCAAGCUAGGGGGCAAUGGAAUUGCCGGUGUAGUGGUGAAAUGCGUAGAGAUCGGCAGGAACACCCAGGGGGAAACCAGUCGACUGGGCAGCACCUGACGCUGAGGUGCGAGAGCGUGGGGAGCGAACCGG